rnacentral:lncRNA from 8 species
CACACACACAGAUAGCGCGACGCACAAAGCCAGCACUACAUUGAUUUCACACACAAUGAGUGUGUGUGUGCGUGUUUAUGCAUUGGGAUGUUAUGGGGGGGGGGAGAUGGACACUCAGUUUAUGAGAAAAGGGCAAAAUUAUAAGGAGACAGCUGCGUCUAUCCUACUGAAGAAGAUGAACACACACAAACACACACACACACACACACACACACACUUGUGAUCGGAGGGCAUUGGGCAGUGUAGCGAUACAAGUUCAAUUGUGGCUUCUGCCUUUGAAGUGUCUGAGUGGGACAGAGAGAUGGAAGUGUAGUGGUAGACAGAGAGGUAGUGUGGUGGUAGACAGAGAGAUGGUAGUGUGGUAGUGUGGUGGUAGACAGAGAGAUGGUAGUGUGGUGGUAGACAGAGAGAUGGUAGUGUGGUGGUAGACAGAGAGAUGGUAGUGUGGUGGUAGACAGAGAGAUGGAAGUGUGGUAGUGUAGUGGUAGACAGAGAGAUGGUAGUGUGGUAGUGUAGUGGUAGNNNNNNNNNNNNNNNNNNNNGUAACGCGCAUUUGCAAUAUGAUUCAACAGCAAAAAAUAUCACCAAAGUUGACAUGAUGAAAUCAACACAACGAGCGAUGGAGAGGAACCACAGUCACUGCACGGCCAUCCCGAGAUCAUCGGGCCAGUCAAUUAUGCAUUCUGAGCAUGUCAAAUUCGUUAAAAAUGUUUAAAGCAACAGAGUCCCACUUCUCCCUCAUCAUACAUGACAAGUAGACUGUCACUUUUAACUUCCUAUGAAAUCAUAUUCCAAAUGCACAAAACAUAUGCCUUAUGCACAAGCAAAAACAACCCAAAAAAUGAUGUCAAUAAAAUAUGUCAAAUGUAUGUCCAUACAGCUCUUAUACAUGUGUAAUUGACAUAAAAAUCGAAACAUAAAAACGGUCCAGAAACCACUCUUUAAGGGGUUGAAAAGUUUUGUCAUUUUUUCAAAAUUUGACUCUUGGGUCUUGAAUUGUGUUACAUUUGCAAUAUGAACAUUCACAGCGGAGAGCUCUAGCCAUCUAUUGGGUAUUUGCUGUGAUUUGGCACAUUCAAUACUUUCAUAAUUGACAAAAAAAAGCAUUGGACAUGUCAUUUUGCAAAAAAAAGACAAAAAAAGGUCACUUUUUUCCUAUGAAAUCAUAUUCAAAAUGCACAAAACAUAUGCCUUGUGCACAAGCAAAAGCAACCCAAAAAACUACGUCAAUAAAAAACGUCAUAAGCAUGUUCAUACAGCUUUUAUACAUGUGUAAUUGACAUAACAAUCGAAAAAAAAUUGAAAAACGGUCCAGAAACCACUUUUUUAAGGGUUGAUAAGUUUUCAACAAAAAAAAUUAUAUUAUCAAAAUCUGACCCUUGGGUGUAGACUUGGGUAUCAUUUGCUGUAUGAAAAUCCACGGUGGAGCGCACUCACCAUCUAAAGGAAAUUUGGGGUGUUACAAUUGGCAAUUGCCAUCGGAAAAUUGCCAUAUGAUUUGCACGGAGAUGGACCGCUUUCGGUGGUAUUUAAAAUUGUGUGUAUGAUUCGUGCUAUGCCAAUAUGUUCCCAUGUUAUUUUGUCCAAAUCAGGGGGGGUUUCCCUUACAUAGGAAGAGGUAGGGUGACUUGUCUGUGACUUACAGAGAGAGAGGUAGGAAGACUUGUCUGUGACUUACAGAGGGAGAGGUACGAUGACUUGUCUGUGACAUGCAGAGGGAGCGGUAGGAUGAUUUGUCUGUGACUUACAGAGGGAGAGGUUGGAAUACUUGUCUGUGACUUACAGAGGUAGAGAUAGGAUGACUUGUCUGUGACUUACAGAGUGAGAGGCUGGAAGACUUGUCCGUGAUUUACAGAGCGAGAGGUAGUAUGACUUGUCUGUGACUUACAGAGGGAGAGGUAGGAUGACUCUUCUGUGGCUUACAAAAGGAGAGGUUGGAAGACUUGUCUGUGACUUACAGAGGGAGAGGUUAGAAGACUUGUCUGUGACUUACAGAGGGAGAGGUAGGAAGACCUGUCUGUGACUUACAGAGGGAGAGGUAGGAUAUUUUGUCUGUGACUUACAGAGGGAGAGGUAGGAAGACUUGUCUGUGACUUUUAUAUGGAGAGGUUGGAAGACUUGUCUGUGACUUACAGAGGGAGAGGUUGGAAGACUUGUCUGUGACUUACAGACGUAGAGGUAGGAUGACUUGUCUGUGACAUACAGAGGGAGAUGUUGGAAAACUUGUCUGUGACUUACAAAGGGAGAGGUAAGAUGACUUGUCUGUGACUUUUAUAUGAAGAGGUUGGAAGACUUGUCUUUGACUUACAGAGGGAGAGGUUGGAAUACUUGUCUGUGACUUACUGAGGGAAAGGUUCGAAGACUUGUCUGUGACUUACAGAGGGAGUGGUAGGAUGACUUGUCUGUAGCUUACAGAGGGAGAGGUAGUAUGACUUGUCUGUGACUUACAGAAAGAGAGGCAGGAAGACUUGUCUGUGACUAACAGAGGGAGUGGUAGGAUGACUUGUCUGUGGCUUACAGAGGGAG